rnacentral:rRNA from 1 species
GAUACCCUAUUAUUUUAGAUGUUAUUUAUUUUCUAUAGUUAUUAGUAGUUUAGUUCUUUAAAAUUAAACAAUUUGGCGGUAUUUUAGUCUAUUCAGAGGAACCUGUUUUUUAAUUGAUGGUCCACGAUAAUUUUUACCUUGGCUUUAAAUUUGCAUAUCGUCGUUAUUAAAAAUUUUGGGAAAAUUUUAAUUUUUAUGAUUUAUAAUUAUGAAUUAAUUCAGAUCAAGGUGUAGUUUAUGAUAAGGUUAAAAUGGGUUACAUUUCAUUAAUGAUUGGUUCUUUUUUUUGGAAUUUAAGAUAAAUUGGAUUUGAUAGUAAAUUCUUUAUUUUGUGGGAUUGAUUUAGCUCUAAAAUAUGUACAUAUCGCC